rnacentral:rRNA from 1 species
CUUUUCUUGUUAGUUUUUGAAGUAUGGCCUGCCCACUGAUUUUUUAUUGAAGGGCCGCGGUAUUUUGACCGUGCAAAGGUAGCAUAAUCAUUAGUUCUUUAAUUGUGAUCUGGUAUGAAUGGCUUGACGAGGCAUGGGCUGUCUUAGAGUUUUGGAUUGUUUUAUUGAACUUGGUUUUUGAGUUAGAAUUCUUAGAUGUUUUUAUGGGACGAGAAGACCCUAUAGAGUUUGACAUAUAUUAUAGUUUUGUUUGGUUUGUUAUGUUAGUUGCUUUUAUUGUUUGUUUUGUUGGGGUGAUGGGAGGAAUUUUUUUAACUCUUCUUUAUUUUGGUAUAUUUAUUUAUGUUUGUUUUGAUCC